rnacentral:snRNA from 1 species
GUGCUUGCUUCAGCAGCAUAUAUACUAAAAUUGGAAUAAUAUAGAGAUUAGCAUGGCCCCUGUGCAAGGAUGACAUGCAAAUUCAUGAAGCUUUCCAUAUUUUU